UCGUUUUAAUUAUUCUGAAACACUCCAUCGAUUUGCUAUAUCAGAAAACUAAGAAAGAAAAUUUUCCUUCUAUCCAAUACGGUGCUUACGGCUACAUCAUCUAGACGAUCGAUUUGAACUAAAUCGGUUUAAAUACGGAGGUGUUUUGGGAUUUUGAUAAUUCAGGGAACCAAUCGAUCAUCUGGGUAAGCAACUUAUCAAAUCUUUCUGAAUAAUCUCUACUUGUACGAUUUUUAGCAUUUACGGUUAUAUUGUGGUGUGCUCACCGAUUUGAAUAAGACUUUUUGUACCGUUUAAUUAACAAAAUUGGCUCACUGAUUUAACCUGUAAUUUCUGUUUUGUUCAUCUUCCGGAGGAAACAACUGUUGGAUACUGAAACUUUCUAUCAACCGAUGCUUGGCUCUUACAUUUUUUUGAAGAUAAACUACAAUCAGAUAAGUAUUUGGGUCGAUGGAAAUUUUUUAUUAACCGAAAGUAAUUGCUUAUGUCUAUUGGAAUGCUUACUGGCUGUUUAAUUUAAAUGUGUAGGUAACAACUGAAAAACUUCUUUAAGGAAACCGUGGAAGACAACUGAGAAGUUUCAUCAUCAUAGAGAGGAACUCUUCCAUUGUGUUGGAGAUAAACUACAAUAAGAUAAGUAUUUUGAUUCUUGGAAAAUUUAUAUUAACAGAAGUCCCAUGCUCAUCUUCUUAUAAUAAUGCUAAGUGGCUGUUAAUUAUAUCUUUGUAGAUGACCAAAAUACAUAAUAUAAUUACCUAAAUCAAAGGCGUGGAACUUGCUUCAUCAUAAAGAGGAGUAACUUCAUUUCAGAAGAUGCUUCCACACAUCAUUCCUCGAGUAAACCUCUGGCCAAACAUGCUUCCUUGUAUGAGUCGUAGAGCACACCAUUGUAGGUCCUCAAAUCUUCAUCAUUCCUUGGUCCCUUCAAAUACCUGAAAAGGAGUUUCAAACAAACAUUACCAUGAAGGUUGCUUGAAAUAUCUGUUGUCCUUCGUUUCCCGAGUGUUAAUUGCUUUCUUUCAAAAAGUUUCAGCUUCUGUUUCCAUGAAAAAAACUGAGGGAUUUCUUCAAAAGUAAGAUCUCUAGCCUCCGAACACGUAACAUUCAGAUCAAACCAAGCCCGAAUAAGUGGAUCUUGAUUGUUUUUCAUAUUAUUUGUUCUCUUAGAGAGGAAGAGGUUUACUUUUUUUUUUGCUUAUGUGUUUGAUUGUUAGAACCUUACAUAGAUUUUUAUACUAUUCAGCUUUUUAGGGUUUUAUUCCAAAUUUAUUUAAAAUUAAGCAGGAUAUACCGCAAUUUCAAUCGGAAUAAAAUAUUCUACAACGAUUUUAGUAAACAGAUUUGGUGAGAACGUAAUAAUAGGAAAACAAAAAAAGAAGGAAAAUAUUUUGUUGAUUUUUCUGGUAAAGGACAAUAUUUUGACGAAAUUAUUUCCAUCUGAGUAUUAAGAUAAUUAAUAUUGGUUUAUAAUGAAAUUUUCUUCUGGGUUAAAUACUCUAAUCUUUUUUAAAAAACAUCCAUAUCUCUUAACGAUUCAUGAAAACCUAGACCAAUGUUUUUAAAAAAUAAAGACUUCGCUUUCAAAACUCAUACAUAGCUUUGUUUUAAUUAGAUUCUGAAAUCUGUUAACCGAUGUUGGAUACCCAAACUAUUUCCAUAGAUUCUGAAAUACUUCCUUGAAAACGACAUUCAUUGUCUGCUUCUGUGGCUCCCCUUCUUUAUCCACGAUAAGCACUUUCAAACCCUUCUUUGAUGUCACCCUUGACAAAGCUACGUAUAGCUGUCCAUGAGAAAACACAGGUCGAGGAAGAAACAAACCCACUUCUUCUAGUGAUUGUCCUUGACUCUUGUUAAUUGUCAUUGCAAAAGCCACUGCUAAUGGAAACUGUCUUCUCCUCAUCCUAAAAGGCAGCUUAGUAUCUGAUGGUUUAAUUAAGAUCUUAGGAAUCAAAACUUUGUCUCCAACUCUGUCCCCCGUAAUAACGCAAGCUUCUAAAACAUUAUUCCCCAUCUGUGUAAUCUGCAAUCUUGUACCGUUGCAUAAACCACCUUUAGGAUCAAUAUUCCGUAGCAACAUGACAGGAGCACCAAUUUUAAGACGUAAACUGUGAUUUGGCAAUCCAGAUAGUCUUA